CACAACAGGAAAUGGGUUCUAAGUAUAUUUGUACCCAGUACCAUUGAGAGUAUCUUCACAACUGUGGCUUUACACAACUUGAGUCACACGACCAACACUGACAACACAACAGCACUGAAUGUUACAGAUCAGGACUGAACAUCAAAUGAGGGAUACAAGAGCUGGCAGUCUUAUUUCCCAUGUCUUUGGGGAAGACAAAGAUCCUUCUGCACAGAGCUGCAAAGAGCAAGACUCUGCUCCUUCCUGUGGCAGUGAUUCUUCUGGUACCUGUGAAUAAACCUGACUCGACAGAUAAAUAUCAACUGCAGAGAGAUGUAAACAGAAAAAGAGACUUCUCUCCUCCCAAUGAAUUUAGAGACUUCUGACCCCAGUCAGCAUACUUUUCUUGGAUGUAAAAGAGUUUUUCAAGGUGAUGAAUUCACUGUGUGAUUUUUUUGGAAACAUGGCAAUUCCUUUUCUCCAAUAUUGGGCUGCCUGAUGGGAAGAGGACAUCACCUGCUUACCAGCCUGGCAGUAGUGUAUCACUAUAAUACUGCACUACUGGAUAUCACACCAGCCUCAUCAAGCCAGCUUUACUGUCAGCUUCAGUACCACCUGCCAUCUCCCCUGUGACAGGGCAGUUUCACUAUUAAAAAGAUGCACUUACAGACACUUUUCUCACAGAGAGAGUGGCCUACAUUUUCAAACUCCCUGCCAAGGAUCAGUGGCCCUCCAUCCCCACUACCUACAGAAAUGCAUCCAAAACAGUAUUUCAUCUCAGUUUUCCCACAAAAGACCCUCUCAAGUAUGUCAGGAGUCUUAUGUGCAGAAAGGCCCAGCAGCAACUUUUAAGUGCACUCCUGUCACAAAAGCUUUGAAGGGAAAGAUUUGUGCAUUUACUUCUAAUGGGUAGUUCUCAGAUACCACGGUUAUGGAUGAGCUUAGGCCACAUAAAGCAAUUAAAUUUAAUGCCCUAGAUUAGAUGCUAUUUCUGACUGAAUGACCUCAAGAGUGUGUGCAAGUGUACUAACCUAUGAUACUAGUGAAAUAGGAGGUAUCUGAAUGUGUUCAGUAGCAUUUUUUUUCUCAACGCAUAAAGUUUUUAUUCUCUUGACUUGGUCACAUUUGAC